UCAAACGAUCGUAUCACCAGGCGCGCUACAACUAACAGUGUAACAUUAAAACUUUCCAGAGUUAACACUUUAACUUUUCAGAACAGUUUUUAUAAUAGAGCUCCCAGAAUAUAUAACUCCCUACCACCACAUAUUCGAGAAGCAAGCGUUACUGUCGGCCAAUUCAAAUCUUACCUGUUAACUUAUUAUGAAGCAAUGACUAAAGAUAUAUAUAACAUUAAUGCUCCACAAACAUUUAAAAGUAUAUGUGUCAAGUGUCACUCGUGUCGUCCGUUGUCCAGUCUUGUGGAUAAAAUGUGUUGUAAAUAAUGUAAUGUUGGGG